UCGGGGAUACCGUAGCCUAGGAAACGGGUGUAGCUACAAGACAACAACAUUGAUAAGUCAAUUUCCCUAUCGUGUUACAUAAAUCUUCAUAAAUAUUCGCUUUAUAUCACGUUUAGUAUCAACUGCAGUUUCAUUUAAAUCUUGGUUAACCAGUGAUUGCAGCUUUUGUGUGGGCCAGAGUGAAGAAUUUUUUGACAGAUCAAAGUAUGGCUGGCAGAUUUUGAGUGCGGCGACGAGGUUCUGGUGGAGUCGUCGCCGCCCGCUUCGCCAGACAUGGCGGCGCGACUCGCGGCCCCCACUCAGGGAACGAGUAACGGCGCGGGCGGCGGCGGGUCGCCGAGCGCGGUGCGCGAGCUCAUCGUCAUCCCCGAGCUGCCCAACUCCAUACAUUUGCAGCACGCUAUACA